rnacentral:tRNA from 1 species
GUUGUAGUUCAGUUGGUUAGAGCGUCAGAUUGUGGUUCUGAAUGUCGUGGGUUCGAGUCCCAUCU